rnacentral:rRNA from 1 species
AGUGAACGCUGGCGGUAGGCCUAACACAUGCAAGUCGAACGGCAGCACAGUAAGAGCUUGCUCUUACGGGUGGCGAGUGGCGGACGGGUGAGGAAUACAUCGGAAUCUACUUUUUCGUGGGGGAUAACGUAGGGAAACUUACGCUAAUACAGCAUACGACCUACGGGUGAAAGCAGGGGAUCUUCGGACCUUUCGCGAUUGAAUGAGCCGAUGUCGGAUUAGCUAGUUGGCGGGGUAAAGGCCCACCAAGGCGACGAUCCGUAGCUGGUCUGAGAGGAUGAUCGGCCACACUGGAACUGAGACACGGUCCAGACUCCUACGGGAGGCAGCAGUGGGGAAUAUUGGACAAUGGGCGCAAGCCUGAUCCAGCCAUACCGCGUGGGUGAAGAAGGCCUUCGGGUUGUAAAGCCCUUUUGUUGGGAAAGAAAAGCUGCAGGUUAAUACGCCGCUGUUCUGACGGUACCCAAAGAAUAAGCACCGGCUAACUUCGUG